AGGGUUUGAUCCCGGCUCAGAACGAACGCUGGCGGCGUGGUUGAGGCAUGCAAGUCGAACGAGAACGUCCCCUUCGGGGGGCUAGUACAGUGGCGAAAGGGUGAGCAAUGCAUAGAUAACCUACCUGCGAGUUGGGGACAACCCCGGGAAACUGGGGCUAAUACCCAAUAAGACCACAGGUUCGAUAGUUUCUGCGGUAAAAGGAGGGGACCUCUUCGGGGGCCUUUCACUUGCAGAGGGGUCUAUGUCCUAUUAGCUUGUUGGCGGGGUAACGGCCCACCAAGGCGAUGAUGGGUAGGGGCACUGAGAGGUGAGACCCCCACACUGGGACUGAGACACUGCCCAGACUCCUACGGGAGGCUGCAGUUCGGAAUAAUUCGCAAUGGGCGCAAGCCUGACGAUGCGACGCCGCGUGGACGAUGAAGGCCUUACGGUUGUAAAGUCCUGUCACAUGUUAGAAAGUGCACUGCGGUUAAUACCCGCAGUGCUUGAUAAAGGCAUGAGAGGAAGCUCCGGCUAAAUUCGUGCCAGCAGCCGCGGUAAUACGAAUGGAGCAAGCGUUGUUCGGUCUUAUUGGGCUUAAAGGGUGCGUAGGCGGCCGUGUAAGUCAGUGGUGAAAGCCCCCAGCUUAACUGGGGAACUGCCUUUGAUACUGCAUGGCUCGAGAGUUGGAGGGGAGAGCGGAAUUCCCGGUGUAACGGUGAAAUGUGCAGAUAUCGGGGAGAAGGCCGGUGGCGAAGGCGGCUCUCUGGACAACUUCUGACGCUGAGGCACGAAAGCUAGGGGAGCAAACGGGAUUAGAUACCCCGGUAGUCCUAGCUGUAAACGAUGGGCACUUCGUAGGGGGGAUACCGAUAAUUUUCCCUGCUGAAGCGAAAGCGUUAAGUGCCCCGCCUGGGGAGUAUGGUCGCAAGAUUAAAACUCAAAGGAAUUGACGGGGGCUCACACAAGCGGUGGAGCAUGUUGUUUAAUUCGAUCAACGCGAAGAACCUUACCGGGGCUUGACAUGCACGGAUUAGUCUCCUGAAAGGGAGGUGACGCCCUCUGGGUGGAACGUGCACAGGUGCUGCAUGGCUGUCGUCAGUUCGUGUCGUGAGAUGUCGGGUUAAGUCCCUUAACGAACGAAACCCCUGUCGGUAAUUACCAGCGCGUCAUGGCGGGAACUUUACCGAGACUGCCGGUGUUAAACCGGAGGAAGGUGGGGACGACGUCAAGUCCUCAUGGCCCUUACGCCCCGGGCCACAAACGUGCUACAAUGGCAGGUACAGAGAGACGCAAAGCCGCGAGGUGGAGCAAAUCUUCAAAGCCUGCCCCAGUUCGGAUUGGAGGCUGCAAUUCGCCUCCAUGAAUGUCGGAAUCGCUAGUAACCGCGCAUCAGCUACGGCGCGGUGAAUACGUUCCUGAGCCUUGUACACACCGCCCGUCAAGCCACCCAAGUUGGGAGCACCCGAAGUCCGUGACCUAACCGCAAGGAUGGAGCGGCCGAAGGUGAGCUCGAUGAGGGGGACUAAGUCGUAACAAGGUA
rnacentral:rRNA from 1 species